AUUAGGGUAAAGUUAUGUGGCUAUUGGACUUACACGAGAACGAGAAAUUUGUUUCCUUAGACCUCUCUCCUUUCUCCUCUCUACGACGGCGGCUCUCCUUCGACCGCUCCAUCUCCGACGGAGCCUAAACCAACACCACAAACACGCAGCUCUCUGAAAGCUAUCAUCACUCUCAAUCUCAAUUUCGGUGCAUCCACUUCGAUCUCUCGUCUUUAUUGAUCUUUGAUUUCGUUUGAUUCCUUCUUUGUCUUCUCUUUUGAAUCGUGAUAUUCCCGUUAUCGCAGAUGAUGAGGAUACGAUGAAGAUGAAGCGUUGUUGUUGAAGAUUGUAUGAAGCGGUUGUGACGCGAUGAUGAAUCGUGAUGAUGAAGAUUGAGCGACGAAGAACGAUUCUUGGCGAUUGAAGAAGAACUCCGAUGGAGAUUUUGCGGUUCACACAUCAAGUUAUAUGUAAGCCAUUUGGUGUAGGCAUAGCAAGGUGCAUAGUGAGCAAUAUGGUGAGGAGUGACGUCGAAUCAAUGUCGUUACGUUAUCAGAAUGAGCUGAACCAGAGUAAAGGCAAAAGGGGAAUGGUUUUAGUCUGAAUACAGUGGUAGUUCCUACUUCUGUCCAACUUGAGGUGGAUUGAACAUGAGCUUGAAAGCUUGAAGAAGUGUGGUGUUGUUCAAGAAAAAACAUGGUGACUUGAAGUUAAGGUGUGAAAGCUAUGAAGUUGAUGAAGAAUAAAAUUAGCAUGAAGAAGAUUCCAUGGAGGCUUGCUUGUCUUUCUUUUUGUGAUGAUAGGGAUGUACUAAUUCUCAUAGUUUAUGUUGAAUUCAUGAUGUGGAAUGUAUGUAAUUGGGAUUUGUAAUAGGGUUUGAACUUUGAUGUAAUAUGAGAUGGGUGUUUGAACUAGUAACGGUUUAUGAUAUUUAUGUAAACAUUUUCAUGGUUUCUGUUGGACUAACUCAUGAAGGCCUCCACAUGCUUUAUUUUAUGAAUGGAAAGUUUGGAUUGAA